UAGGGAAUCUUCGGCAAUGGACGAAAGUCUGACCGAGCAACGCCGCGUGAGUGAAGAAGGUUUUCGGAUCGUAAAACUCUGUUGUUAGAGAAGAACAAGGACGUUAGUAACUGAACGUCCCCUGACGGUAUCUAACCAGAAAGCCACGGCUAACUACGUGCCAGCAGCCGCGGUAAUACGUAGGUGGCAAGCGUUGUCCGGAUUUAUUGGGCGUAAAGCGAGCGCAGGCGGUUUCUUAAGUCUGAUGUGAAAGCGCCCGGCUCAACCGGGGAGGGUCAUUGGAAGCUGGGAGGCUUGAGUGCAGAAGAGGAGAGUGGAAUUCCGUGUGUAGCGGUGAAAUGCAUAGAUAUAUGGAGGAACACCAGUGGCGAAGGCGGCUCUCUGGUCUGUAACUGACGCUGAGGCUCGAAAGCGUGGGGAGCAAACAGG
rnacentral:rRNA from 1 species